rnacentral:snRNA from 1 species
AGCUUUGCGCAGUGGCAGAAUCGUAGCCAAUGAGGUGAAUCCGAGGCGCGAUUAUUGCUAAUUGAAAUAA